rnacentral:rRNA from 1 species
UACGUAGGGUGCAAGCGUUAAUCGGAAUUACUGGGCGUAAAGCGUGCGCAGGCGGCUUUGCAAGACAGAUGUGAAAUCCCCGGGCUUAACCUGGGAACUGCAUUUGUGACUGCAUGGCUGGAGUGCGGCAGAGGGGGGGAUGGAAUUCCGCGUGUAGCAGUGAAAUGCGUAGAUAUGCGGAGGAACACCGAUGGCGAAGGCAAUCCCCUGGGCCUGCACUGACGCUCAUGCACGAAAGCGUGGGUAGCAAACAGG